rnacentral:rRNA from 1 species
CGGGGAGGCCGGCGCAGCCUGAUGCAGCGACGCCGCGUGGGGAUGACGGCCUUCGGGUUGUAAACCUCUUUCGACAGGGACGAAGCUUUUGUGACGGUACUGUAUAGGCACGGCUACUACGUGCCAGAGCCGCGGUAAUA